rnacentral:misc_RNA from 1 species
AGUCGACUACGGAAUUAAGCAUAGUGUCGCAUCUCGUUUCAAGGUUACAUGAGAAAUAUUGCCAUUGUGCGAUACUGCAGAAAAUGUCCACGCCAGGAAUGGCGCUUAUUUUUUGUGCCACUAUGAAAACGUCAAACCACAUUCAUGCAAUCUGGUUGCUGAAACAUACGACAGGGUGAAACUAGUCUGCCAGUAACCUGGUUACAACAGAUGCUCGAAACGACAGCUAUCAGCAAACUCUCGAGUAACCACGAAGAAAGCAACGUCCUUCACGUAGACUUUCGAGCGCGAAAUGCCCUUGGAAGGACAGUGAUCGGAAACUGAAAUGUCAUCGUAAGAGAAGAAAGACAUUUUCAAAGGAGAUUAUCGAUACAUGUACUGUAG